UAUACAAAAAGCUAACUGUGUAUAUGGCCCAAAAUAAUAUAACUAUGUUCAUUUACAGGGCAAAAGAGAAUGAAGAAAUUUUGAGCACAUAUACGCAAAGAAGUUCUCUAGAAACAGCUUCAUCACCAAUUUUUAUAUCACUAAAUGAUGAGGCUAUACCUAUAGGAGAUAUCCAAGCACAACCAGCGAUGCAAUCUUUUCACGUUGAAGGUAAAAUAUCGUUGCUGGAUGAUGAGCAGCUGUUUUAUGAGUUAAUGUGUUCAAAAUGCAAGAACUUUGUUAGGACCAAAAUAAUGAAGGCUAUUAUUUGUGUAAAGCUGUGAUCGGACAAGCAAUGUUAACACCCAGGUGCCGCAUUCAAGUCCAAAUUGCAGAUGGAAGUGGAUCGACAAUUGCAACAUUAGUGGGUGAACCUGGAGAGAAUCUUCUUUCGAUGAAAGCUGAACAAAUCUAUGAAACAAUUAACAUAAAGGUACAAAUCAAUUAGAAUUCUUUCUUA